rnacentral:sRNA from 1 species
UGUUAGCCCUGAUGGAAGUGACAUCCCGUCCCGUCUUUUUUGACAGGACGGAAUAUAGCGGACAGCAGGAACCCAU